CUACGGGGUGCUGCAGUAGGGAAUAUUGGACAAUGGGCGAAAGCCUGAUCCGGCAACACCGCGUGCACGAUGACGGCCUUCGGGUUGUAAAGUGCUUUUAGAGGAGAUGAGAAAGGACAGUAUCCUCUGAAUAAGCCUCGGCGAACUACGUGCCAGCAGCCGCGGUAAAACGUAGGAGGCAAGCGUUAUCCGGAUUUAUUGGGCGUAAAGCGCGUGCAGGCGGUCUAGCAAGUUGGAUGUGAAAGCUCCCGGCUCAACUGGGAGAGGUCGUUCAAUACUGUUAGACUAGAGAAUAGGAGAGGGAGGUGGAAUUCCGGGUGUAGUGGUGAAAUGCGUAGAUAUCCGGAGGAACACCAGUGGCGAAAGCGGCCUCCUGGACUAUUUCUGACGCUAAGACGCGAAAGCUAGGGUAGCAAACGGGAUUAGAUACCCGGGUAGUC
rnacentral:rRNA from 1 species